ACCUUUAUAGAAAUAUUAGAAGAUCCAGCAAGUAGCCUGAAAAAAAUGGAAAUAACAAGGCCAGGGACCAAAAUCUAGCUGGUAUUUUUAACAAAUGGCCACUGAAUUUUGAAAAAUUCCAGUUUUUAACCAAGUUUUCCUGGCUUGCUAACACAUUCUAGGCUACCCCCAACUCUUCUGUUUUCUCAGAUCAGACUCCUAACCUCUAAGUUCCUGUUUGUAUUUAAAUCUAGAACUCUUCAACCCUAUAACAUUUACCUAACUUUCUUAGUCUACUAAGGAAGAUCAGGGGAGAGGUGAGGAUGACUGGAUCCACCCAAUCCCUACUACUCAAGACACAAAGUUAAAUAAAUGGAGUCUUCCCAUCGAGGGAAAGUUUUUGAUGGAGUAAAGCCCUGCCUGAAAGGCUCUCCUCUGAAAGAGUGUUUACCACGAAUUCAUGAAAAUGAUUCAAGACCGAAGAGUAGAAAGCAGCAGAGAUGCAAGAGUCUAAUUUGGAGAAAUGGAUUCCUUAUGAACGGUAGCCAGUUUGACUCCCCUUGUGGCAACAAUCAGAGAUUCAACUCUCCUGGGAAGGACUCCAGUGGACAGUUCCCAGCCCCAGACAGAGCAGGUAUCCAGUUCACAUUUUUCCUGACUCUAUAGCCCCUCAUUUGUUAGCAAUAGGGCUUGAUUUCCUGCCCUUAGGGCCUGGGACCCCUUCCCAGCCUUGAGUUCAGCUGGGGUCUCCUUAGCAGAGGCUUAUGCAGACUCAGCUACUCCUAAGCCCUUCACCUGUGGAUUCAGAUUCUGUUGGUAUCCCCAGGAUGCAAGCUCCGAGAACUCAGCAAACAAGGGGAAAUUCCUAAUCCUUCCUUCUGGGACUUCUCUGUGGAUUCCCUCUGUUUGCUCUCUUCCUGUCCCCAGGGUGGUAGAAUUGAGGCUGGGCAAGUUAGAAAACUUUCUCUGUCUUAGUCCUUAACGGUUCAGCAUCACUCCAGACUCCUAUCUGUUUUUGCCUCUUUUAGGGAUAAUUUUAUAGAGUGAUUUUUGGGUCGGUUGUGGGAGGUUUUAGGAGGGUAAGAAAGCUUCAGACCCCAGCCCGCCAUCUUCCUACAAUUCCUGGCCAAUAGAUAUUUUCCACUCACACACAGCUAGUAUAGAGGUUCUCUGGGCACUGCCAGGCCAAAGUCACAGAACUGGGGACCUUCACCUUUCCCUAUCUUUUCCUUGUUUAAACACUUUGCCGUGGGUUCAUGGAUCUGCCUUUGAUGUUCUCCUCAAUAAAGAAAUUAGAGUCCCUCUGUUUUAAUUCCA
rnacentral:lncRNA from 1 species